rnacentral:lncRNA from 1 species
CUCUAUCCCUAACCACUUUCCUUCUUUUUUCAUCCCCACCUUGACUCCAGUAGGUGGCUGGGAAGGUUAACCUGGGUUGGGAACAACUUCAUGGACAUAAAUUUGGAUGAUUUCUGCCCUGUGAAGUCAUUUCAUGGUAAUUGCCACAAGAUGAUGCCACUGGCAACUUGAUACAGAAAGUCACCUUAAACCAGACUCAGACUGGCACCAUGUGACCCCAGGACUGAUUUUUCUGCGAGGACUCUGCAGGGCUCUUGAUUCUGAAAUACUUGCAACUUCAGGGAGAAGACACUCCCUUGGCCAGCUUCAUCCCAGCGUCUAGUUGGGGAAAGAAGAUUGGACAUGCUACAUUUUUGGGCAAGAUAUUUAUCGUUUCCAAACCUAUUUCCUGAUCUAUAAAAUGGGAAUGAUAAAAGAACUCACAUCGUCAAGCUUUUGUGAGAAUUGCAACUGAUAAAUGAUAAAUGUUAUUAUGACAUAGCAAUAAAUGUCGAUUGUUAUAAAAUAGUAAUAAAAUAG